rnacentral:rRNA from 1 species
GGACCAUCUCCUAAGGCUAAAUACUCUCUAGUGACCGAUAGUGAACCAGUACCGUGAGGGAAAGGUGAAAAGCACCCCGGAAGGGGAGUGAAAUAGAACCUGAAACCGUGUGCUUACAAGUAGUCAGAGCCCGUUAAUGGGUGAUGGCGUGCCUUUUGUAGAAUGAACCGGCGAGUUACGAUUUGAUGCAAGGUUAAGCAGUAAAUGUGGAGCCGUAGCGAAAGCGAGUCUGAAUAGGGCGUUUAGUAUUUGGUCGUAGACCCGAAACCAGGUGAUCUACCCUUGGUCAGGUUGAAGUUCAGGUAACACUGAAUGGAGGACCGAACCGACUUACGUUGAAAAGUGAGCGGAUGAACUGAGGGUAGCGGAGAAAUUCCAAUCGAACCUGGAGAUAGCUGGUUCUCUCCGAAAUAGCUUUAGGGCUAGCCUCAAGUGAUGAUUAUUGGAGGUAGAGCACUGUUUGGACGAGGGGCCCCUCUCGGGUUACCGAAUUCAGACAAACUCCGAAUGCCAAUUAAUUUAACUUGGG